GUGAGAGGAUGACUGGUGACAGAGUGAGGGGGUGACUAGUGACACAGUGAGGGAGGGGGUCACUAGUGGCAGAGUGAGGGAGGGGGUAACUGUCACUAGUCACCCCCUCCCUCUGUCCCUAGUCACCCACUCCCUCACUCUGUCACUAGUCGCCCCUUCCCUCCCUCUGUCACUAGUCACAGUCACACCCACCCUCUGUCACCCCUUCCCUCACUCUGUCACUAGUCACACCUUCCCUCUCUCUGUCACUAGUCACUCUGUCAC